rnacentral:rRNA from 1 species
UGGACCGGUACAAAGGGUAGCAACACCGGCGGAGGUAGGACGACCAACCCCAAAAAGCCGGUCUCAGUUCGGAUUGGAGUCUGCAACUCGACUCCAUGAAGUUGGAAUCGCUAGUAAUCGUGGAUCAGCAUGCCACGGUGAAUACGUUCCCGGGCCUU